rnacentral:lncRNA from 1 species
AGAGUGAAUAGGUUUUUCUGAAACAAAACAGAGUUUUAAGUAGCAACAAAGAAGGAAAAGAAGUUGAAAGGUCCUAAUACUUGAGAAAAUUGAAAAUAAGAAGUUAUAAAACAUAUAUUUCGAAAUUAACACUUAGACAAGUCCAAAGACUGAAUAAGUGAAGAGUUGGCUUGGUUCAUUGGCUUGAUUUCCGUCUGGUUCAGAGUAAACCAAAAUAGCAAUUGAUUUUUUUAGUCUUCUGGUUUGUGAUCUAGUAACUGGGCCCUUAGACAAGCAAAAUGGAUCCAUGCCUUGAUUGGUUUGAAAUGUAUCAUCAUCUCCAUCUAGGCCUAUCACGCCUUGAGUAUCAAUCUGGUUCUCACCAUGCUCCUCUUCAAUGUCACUCUCACUCAGCUCCUUUCCAGCUCCUGGUUCAGUCAUGGUUGCAUCAUCCCCUCCUCCUUUAAAAGGAUUUGACCUCAAAUCUGAUUCAUCUGCACAAAAAGGGAUCAAGUCAGCAACAUUGAAUGUAGAGCUAACAGCAUACUUACCUUGGAGAUCAAUUUUGUAAGCAUUGUUGUUGAUGCGUUCCAACACUUUGAAGGGUCCAUCUGUUCUUGGCAAGAGUUUUGACUUUCUUUCAGCAGGGAAUCUAUCCUUUCUCAAGUAAAUUGACACCAAAUCUCCUGGUUCUAGUAUCAACUCACACCUCUUCUUGUUGGCAUGCUUCUCAUACUCUUUAGUCCUUUCUUCAAUGUUCUUUUUAACCUGUUGAUGCAAAGAAACCACAUACUCGGCCUUGGACUUUCCAUCAAGGUUAGUUUGCUCAUUAAGAGGUAAAGGCAACAAAUCCAGAGGAGUCAAAGGACUAAAACCAUAAACUCUUUCCAGACAUGUGAAGAAGAAAACAAAUAACUAGUGGCUAUUUUAUGCUUAGAACAACUCAGAACAAAGCUAUUUUCUUUGAAGACAAAUGAAGCAAACGAUUUUCUAGAACAUAAAACAAGCUGUUGCAGAAUAAGCUCUAAUAACUUUUCAGGAUGUUCAAAGCUUUUGUUAUGUUCCAUAAACUGAUCAAAACUCAAAACAAAGACCAGGAUUGAUGUCACUAUCACUGGAAAAACCUUUUUCUUCAGAAAAUUUAUCUGGUUCAAGUUUCUUAAAAGAAUGAAUCAUGUUAUCAAAAAUAGAGUUUGAGACACAAAAUUCUUUCACUUUUUCAUGACCAAAACAUUUUACAUCACUGGAACUAACCAUAACAAACAUUUCAGGCAGAGAAUUUACCAUAUGAAGAUCCUUACGGUACCCUUGAGAGUUCAAAGAGAGUGACUUAGCAUCUGUUUCUGCUUCAAUGUUGGCUGCUCUAACACUUCUUCUGGUGGUGAAAUCUUUUGUGCUUCUUCUGCUGAGUUUUCUUCUGAGACCUGAGACACUGAAACAAGGCUACUCGGAUGCACCGGUUCAAAAAAAGUUAGUUCAUCACAGGUUUUAUUUACAACAAGUUCAGACUGAGAAGAGAAAAGAGAAAACUCAUUUUCUGUCUCAGUUUCUUUUAUUACCUUAGAUGGCUCUGUUUUCAGCUCUUUGAUAAUCUGUUCCUGCUUGCUACAAUUCCUUGGGUCAGUAUCCUUUGAGGAAGGUCGUGUGCUCUGUAUUUGUCCUUCUCUAAAUCCUUGAAUAUCUGGUUACACAUAUCAGUAAUGUUUUGGGGACUACUCAUCCGCUUAAGAUCUCCCCGCAGCAACUCCUGAUCAUCACGACUAUGGACAGGUUUUGUUUCUUCUCUGGACUGUUUAGAUUGCCCUCUGCUCCUCCUAAUAGGCGUGUCCAGCAGCCUCUCUGGUCGUGACCUUUCCUGCAACAAAUCAGAUUUGUUAAAACCCGAUUUUUCUUUACUUAACAAGUAUUGUCUUUUUUUCUAGCAAACUCAUUGUGGAGGAACUGAAUAGGUCAGGCUGUGGGUAUCUCUCAGGACGUCUAGUAGCACUGGAUACAUCCUGGCUACUCCUUUUGGUCUUAGCUUCCUUCUGAACCUGAGAAACAUUAUCAAAGAAAUCAUCAGCAUGUUUCUUUUGUAAAAGAUCAGAGUUUUUCAUUCUUUUCAUGAUCUCAGACAUCAUUGUUUCCAUCUGAAAUUUAUUCAAUUUCAUAGUUGGUGCCUCCUUUCUUUUACUGACAUCCCCAGCCAUGGUUUCCUGUUACAAUCUCAACAAGAAAAAUUAGCACAAUAACAGAUAGCCGAAGCCUCACAA